rnacentral:rRNA from 1 species
AUACGGAGGGUGCAAGCGUUACUCGGAAUCACUGGGCGUAAAGCGCGCGCAGGCGGGCUGAUAAGUUGGAUGUGAAAGCCUACGGCUCAACCGUAGAACUGCAUCCAAAACUGUCAGUCUAGAGUGUGGGAGAGGAAGAUGGAAUUAGUUGUGUAGGGGUAAAAUCCGUAGAGAUAACUAGGAAUACCAAAAGCGAAGGCAAUCUUCUGGAACACUACUGACGCUGAGGCGCGAAGGCGUGGGGAGCAAACAGGAUUAGAAACCCUGGUAGUCC